UGUCACUAUAGUCAUUGAAGAAGAUUAUAAUCUUUCUAUUUAUGGUGGUUUCUGAGUGACAUGUAAAACCACCUUGUACUUGGGUAAUGAUGACUGGAACAUUGUCUACCUGCACAAAUUUAAGCUAAGCAGAUAUACUAAAUUAAAUCAUGUAUUUGCACAUUUUUACAUGAAAGAAUAAUAUCUUCUUUGAGGUGAACAAAGGGAUAAUCUUGAGAAUUUUAAGACACUGGAUUUAUUAACACUGCCUUUAAUCAAAGAGAAAUUGCCAGUAUUCAUCCAAUGAGGCAAGGAAAGUGUAGUUUAACAAAGAAUAAGGGAUUAUCUUUCUGAAGAGUAUUUUGUUUUCCAUGAGAAAUGCCUUAAUUCUAUUUAAAAUAAGGUUUAAGUCUUAACCUAGAUACCAUCUAUACUUACAAAGUAAUUUACACAUUAAAGCUUCUGGGCAUUUUGCUUCCUAUCCCUUGCAAUUUUAUUAUCUUGUUUUUCUAAAUUCAUUAACUAAGGCUCUAAACCAUGAUCCUUGACAAGAAGUACAGUUAUUUUAUGCAUAUAUACCUGCAUACUGUUCUGUGUCCUGUGUCAUGGUCAGUCAGGUAUGGCCACAAGAGGAGACACAGGAGGGGAUCAGGAAAAAAAAAAAAGAAAAAGUUUAUGAAUUUUGACCUAGGAAACAGGAGGCUUGCCACACCAUGCAGGCCAUAUGGGAAAGCAACAGAGUAGAUUAGGAGGCAGAAGGGGCAGGAGUGAGAGAAAAGUCAAGGCCAGAACCUUUACUGGGGGCUGGAAAGAUAAGCAAAGUAAACAGUUUAAGACUGGCUAGUUUGAAUAAUUUCUGCAGACUGGACUUUGAGUAUAGGAGUCAUCUCUGGUUGCCUGGUACCAAGCCCUAGUAAGAUCUAGGACAUGGAAAUACUGUUUGGGUAUAAAUGGGCCAGAGAGAGGAGGUUUGACUCCUGAUUUGGCUAAUUUGCAUGUGAAAGGCAUGCUGCAGGCAAAACAUCAUAAUAUAUUGAAAAUAAAAAAUGUUAACAGUACACACAUACAUGAGUGCAGGCGCCCACCCCCCGCCACAGUCUUCAGACAUUAAUUUGUUAAUACCCACUAAAAUUGAAUUAAGAAAUACAAAAAAUUUCACUUGGAGCUUUGUUUUUUAGAUAUUUUAAAAUAUCUGUAAUCAUUGGCCUGUCAGUAUGUGCUAUUAAUGGAAAGACCUCUUCUUGGUUUUUUAUCUCAAAGCCCAGAACCCUGAUUUUCUCCCAAGCAAGCAAGGAACCUGAUAACUGAUAGCAGUAGUGUCUCAGAAAGAACACUGUGCUCCUCUUCCUCUCGACAUUUCCACAUUCUAUGGCCUAGUCUCUGGAGCCCUGCUAUCUGUUAAAGACGGCAGAUGGUAAAACUGGCUGUCUUUUCUGAUAAGAAAGCCUUUACUGCAGCAAUAAUGGGAAACUCACUAAGAAGAAUAAUGUGACGUGUGACGAUGAUGCCACAAACUCUGAGAACUUGAAACAGUGGAAAUUAUUUCUGAUGCUCUAUAAAUCAUUUAUCUGUACUCAUACAUGUGCUAAGAAAGAUAAAAGGGCAAGAAAAGACUUCCUUUUGCUCAGUUAUUGUCAGGCAAGUAUAAGGAAAGCAUAGAUAACUUCCGUAAAGCAGCCUCAUUUUCAAAUUCAAAGGAAUAAUGUAUGGGUAAUAUAUAUUUGCCCUCUUGAAAAAAAAAAUUCUAGAAUGAGGUGGUUUUUUUUUUUUUUUAGUUCCUUGAUUCUCCAGAAAUUCUGGUAGAUUCUUCUAUGUGAAUUUGAAAGAUUGGUUUUUAAUUAGACAUGGAGAUUGUAUAGGUAAUAAUUAAAUUUCAUGAGGAUAUAUAAGUUUAAAGUAUGUUCUCAGUCUCUGAAAUGAUGCAAUGUGAUUGCACAAUGUCGAGAUUUUUUUUAAUUUGGACUUGAUUUUAAAAGAAGCUUUUCUGGUAAAUCAUUAGCCAGUUAGUUAAACAGAUAUGCAGAUGGUUUUCUUUUAUUUCUGUUUAAUAAAUUUCCUCAUAGCAUAAAAAUUUAAUGUUUUAAAUCAAACUUUCUUUAAACUCAUACAUUUCUCCAUCUUAAGGAAUUUCUCUUAUUUCAAUAGCUGCUUUCUUAAAGGUCAGUUGUACCCUCUAAACUUCUAAGUCCAUAGCUUUUCUUAAGUGUUCCUGCUAAUUAAUUCUACGUCUUUGACUACCACUGUUUUCCUGAACCUCAUUCUUCUCUUGUCUUCUGUGGAAUUUAACUCUAUUUUUCUCAUUUUUGAGAAUGCAUUUCUGUCCCCUCAGUCACUGUUCUUUUUCCUAAUCUUUAUCUGCAGGUAUUCCUUGGGGUAUCUUCUCAACCUUUUUUCUUUCUCUCUUUACACUCUUGGCUCACCUACUUAGCUCAUCCUAACUUCAUCUGUCCUGUGCUGUUCAACAAAUACUUACUGACUCCAUCUGUUUAGUCCUGACUAUUCCCUUGAGCACGUGACCUGAGAUUACAGCCUUCUCCUAUUGAACCUCUCCAUAAGGAAGUUCAUUGGUUCCAGUAUUUUCCUAAAUCAGAACCCCUGGGCAAAGACUAUGCUCUCAAAGGGCCUCAGUUUUCUCUUCUUUAAGAGUUGUCAUGAGGAUUUACAUGAGUUAAUUCAGAUAAUGCACUUAGAAUAGCAUGGCAAAUGCUUACUAAUUUGAACUAUGAUUAUACUUAUUCCCAGGUCCAGAUACUAAGCUGUAUAGAUGGUUCCUUUCAGAUAACUUUUACAUUAUUCUUUGCUUUCUCUUUGUUAGUAUUAGCAAUAUAGUAGCCUAGGUUCUUACUGCCUUCCCCAGGAUUAUUGCUGGAACCUCCUAGCCAGUCUCUCCUCACAUUGUUAGUCAAGACAUGUUGGAUUGUGCUGCUGUGAUAAACAACCCUGAAUUUUUUGUGAGGUUACCAACAAAAGUUCCUUUCUGCCCAUUAGAGUCACUCAGGGGCUCAGUCUGAUAGAGGCCCUUUUACAGUUGCAGGGAAAGAAAAGUUGGAGUUGAACAUCACCAGUUAAACGCCUCUCCCCAGAAGAGAUAGGACUCAUUUCCACCAACAUUUCAUUUGUCACGAGUCAAAAAAACCACUUCCAAGCUCAAGGGGGUGAGGAAAUAUGAUCCUCGUAUGCACCUGCAAGGCGGAGAACAGAGUCUUGUAAAAAGCCUGGUGACUACCGCCACCAUUUUACACAGCCUUCCUUAUUCAUCAGCUUGAUGAAUGUGAUUAUGUGAUUCUCCAGCUCCCUCAGCUUUUGUGACUCCUUUUACAAGUCCCCCCAUAGCAAUGUGGGUCUAAUCUGCUUUUCUGGAUUUAUCUCCAUGAGUCUCAGCCUGUAACAUUUACAGUUUAACCAAACUGCACUGCUCACCUGAAAACCAUGGCAUGUUCUUUCUUACCUCAACAUUUUAUGCAUAAUAGUCUCUCUUUUAAUAUUUUCUUUCUACCUGUGAUAAUUUUUACCCAUGAUUUAAGACCCAAGUUUAUAGAGCUUUCCUGAUUUCUGCUUUUUUUUUUCUUUCUCCCUCCAGUGAAGUCUCUUAGAACUGUGUCAGUGCCCCUUUAUUCCAAUAUUAUGACCUUUUUUUUACUAAUUUGUUUAGUAUUUCUACUGUUAUAUAUGCAUUCUUUUUUCAUUUUUUAAUAAUUUUUAUUUUUUCCAUUAUAGCUGAUUUACAGUGUUCUGUCAAUUUUCUAUGUGUGACUGAGUCACAGCAAGGUGACUCAGUCACACAUAUGUGUAGACAUUCUUUUUUCUCACAUUAUCAUGCUCCAUCACAAGUGACCAGACAUAGUUUCCAGUGCUAUACAGCAGGAUCCCAUAUUUUUAAACUAUAUGCUCCUUAAACGACUGUGUCUCAGUCAUUGUUUUUAUUCACCACUAGGCGAAAGCUACAUUAGCCUUAAUGGAAACGUUGUACAAGCUAGAAAAGUGUUUUCUUCUGGAGAGAUUGUAAGAAAUAGACACUCUUUUUGAAAAAGCCAAUUAGAAGAAAAUUCUCCUUUUGUGUGCAGAAAAAAAAGGAAGUAUUCUUCCCAUUAGUUAUGCCCCUCAGUGCAGAAGCAGGGAGCUCAGGCACUGUUUCAGCCACUUAGUUCCCUAGGGCCUAACCCCAUAUGGGUACACAGUAGAAGUUUGCUAAACUAAGCCAUGUGUUAGUGGCAAGAAUGUUCACUGUAGUUUAAAUUAACGGAGUCCAGAAAUAUUUGUAGGCCUAAAAAUUCAAGGAGAAAAAGAAACAAAAUAGAAAUUAGAUCGUGUCACUGAGGAUAGUUAUAAAGUAGAUGAAGUCAGAGGAGAGAUGCAGUUUCUUAAGAUACGUGUUAUAAUGAAAACGUUUUAAAAUCAUACUUGAAUACAUUUUAUCUCUAAGUUUUUAUCUUAAAUCAAUAGUAAAAGCAAGUGACAUGGAAAUAAUGUACUUUUUAGGUGUAGUUUUUGAGUUUAACUUUUUAAGGAAGACAGAACAUAGCGAAAAGGAGUCGAGGGAAAUACAAAUAACUUAUUAAAGACAAUGAAAAAGGAUCAUAUGUUGAUGGACAGAGUAAAUGAUUAGAAACCACGAUCACUGUGUGAUAGGCAGAGAGAGAAACGUAUACUUUUGGUUUAUAGAGUAGUUAGGCUUAACAGUUUCCCUGAAAGUAAAUUUCUUCAAAUUCCUGUCAGGGUGGGGAUCUGUCAUUCAGUGAUUUGAUGGAGAACUUGUAAAUUCAGGAGAGAGUGAAGGAUUGAUGUAUAGAUACACCUAAGAGUUGAAUUUAUGAAUGUUCAGUUAAUAAAGGAAUAUUCCUAAUUCUUUUAAUGAUCUAGCCUUCACAAAUUUGUCACUGUUUAAAAAAGGUAAUUAGGUUGUCUCUGAAAGGCCCAUUAAUGUUACAUUCAGAGAAAAAGAAUUGGGCUGGAUCCCAGGUCUCUUGGUACAACCACCUAUGCAGUGUAUGUUCUCAGACUUAGGGCAGCUCUGAUGUGGUGUCUGAAUAGUUAGUUAAAUAAGGUUAAGUCAUGCCAGCCGUGUAUUUAUUCUAACACAUCCAGGCCUUAUCCUCUCUUCAUGACCCCUUGUAUUGGUUUCCUAACCUUCACCUCAUUCAGUUAACACUGGUUUUAUAAAAGUCCUCCAAUAGCAAAGCUUCUUUCUGCUCAUAUUUGUAACUUUCUCCUCUCCAGUUUAGAACACUCAUAGUGUG
rnacentral:lncRNA from 1 species